GGGGCCGUAGCUCAGUUGGGAGAGCGCGACAUUCGCAUUGUCGAGGUCAGGGGUUCGAUUCCCCUUGGCUCCACCA
rnacentral:tRNA from 1 species